CUUGGAGUGGUCCCCUAUCUGCACUAUUCUAUACCCUUGGAGUGGUCCCCUAUCUGCACUAUUCUAGACCCUUUGGAGUGGUCCCCUAUCUGCACUAUUCUAGACCCUUUGGAGUGGUCCCCUAUCUGUACUAUUCUAGACCCUUUGGAUGGUCCCCUAUCUGCACUCUUCUAGACCCUUUGGAGUGGUCCCCUAUCUGCACUAUUCUAGACCCUUGGAGUGGUCCCCUAUCUGCACUAUUCUAUACCCUUGGAGUGGUCCCCUAUCUGCACUAUUCUAGACCCUUUGGAGUGGUCCCCUAUCUGCACUAUUCUAGACCCUUUGGAGUGGUCCCCUAUCUGUACUAUUCUAGACCCUUUGGAGUGGUCCCCUAUCUGCACUAUUCUAGACCCUUUGGAGUGGUCCCCUAUCUGCACUAUUCUAGACCCUUAGAGUGGUCCCCUAUCUGCACUAUUCUAGACCCUUUGGAGUGGUCCCCUAUCUGCACUAUUCUAGACCCUUGGAGUGGUCCCCUAUCAGCACUGUUCUAUACCCUUGGAGUGGUUAACAAACAAAUCUUUGGAUGCUACAGUACAUGGGCUCUUUGCUAUCUUUCCCAUAUUUCCUUCAUGACUCUAACCCUUUAGCACGAGGGCGUCAAACUCCACGAAGGGCCCUGUUUUUGGGGUUUUUCCCUUCGUUUAAGACCUAGACGACCAGGUGAGGGGAGUUCCUUACUAAUUAGUGACCUACAGUACCAGGUGAGGGGAGUUCCUUACUAAUUAGUGACCUAGACUACCAGGUGAGGGGAGUUCCUUACUAAUUAGUGACCUAGACGACCAGGUGAGGGGAGAUCCUUACUAAUUAGUGACCAAGACAACCAGGUGAGGGGAGUUCCUUACUAAUUAGUGACCAAGACAACCAGGUGAGGGGAGUUCCUUACUAAUUAGUGACAUUAAUCAAUCAAGCACAAGGGUGGAGCGAAAUUCAAUUCAAAGGGCUUUAUUGAGAAACAUAUGUUAACAUUGCCAAAGCAAGUAAUAUAGAUAAUAAACAAAAGGGAAAUAAACAAUAAAAAAUGUACAGUAAACUUUACACUCACAGAAGUUCCAAAAGAGUAAAGACAUUUCAAAUGUCAUUGUCUAUAUACAGUCUUGUAACGAUGUGCAAAUAGUUAAAGUACUAAAGGGAAAAUAAAUAAAAACAGAUAUAGGUUGUUACAGUGGUGUUUGUUCUUCACUGGUUGACAUCAUGCUGCUGUGACUGCCAAAUAGCUUUUUAGUUUGCUCAGUUUUUUUUUCUCUCCAAUAUGUCAAGUAAUUAUCUUUUUAUUUUUCUCAUGAUUUGGUUGGGUCUAAUUGUGUUGCUGUCCUGGGGCUCUGUGGGGUCUAUUUGUGUUAUUGGCAUGGGAAACAUAUGUUUACAUUUCCAAGGC
rnacentral:lncRNA from 1 species